CCAAGGAGUCUAACAUGUGCGCGAGUCAUUGGGUCUUGUUCAGGCCCAAAGGCGGAAUGAAAGUGAAGGCCGAUUCCGUCGGCUGCGUUGGGAUCCCGUCUCCUCGGAGGCGGGCGCACCAACGGCCCGUCCCGAUAGCCGCGUCUAUGGGGCGGAGUGAGAGCGUACACGUUGGGACCCGAAAGAUGGUGAACUAUGCCUGGGCAGGACGAAGCCAGAGGAAACUCUGGUGGAGGUCCGCAGCGAUUCUGACGUGCAAAUCGAUCGUCAGACCUGGGUAUAGGGGCGAAAGACUAAUCGAACCAUCUAGUAGCUGGUUCCCUCCGAAGUUUCCCUCAGGAUAGCUGGCGCUCGGAGGAAGCAAUCUCAUCCGGUAAAGCGAAUGAUUAGAGGCCUUGGGGCCGAAACGACCUCAACCUAUUCUCAAACUUUAAAUGGGUGAGAAGUCCGGCUUGCUCGACUGAAGCCCGGACGCGAGGAUGCGAGUGCCCAGUGGGCCACUUUUGGUAAGCAGAACUG
rnacentral:rRNA from 1 species